ensembl:lncRNA novel transcript
AGACAGACUAUGAAGAGAUACAUAGGGUGAGAAACGGAGGCCUUCAGCCAACAGCUGGGAGAAGCUGAGUCCCAUCAGCCAUUCAAAAGACUGCAGCCCCAGCCAAGAGUUUGAUGUAACCUCAGGAGAGACCCUGAGCCAGAACCACCUAGGAGAUGAUGAGCUCCUGGGCAAGACUGAGGUUUGUGUCAUUUUGCAUCCCCAGCACCGAGAAGAGUACCUGGCACUUAUUGGUGCGCAGACAAUGUUUACUGCAUGAUUAGAAGGUUUAACUGGAAAAACCUACUAACCUCUGAAAAGCUGGGAUACAUGAAGACUGCCAUCCCUUGAGUCACUUGCCCUGUAGCUGCCACUGUUGGAAAAGGGCUUGCUUCUGUGUCCUUGUGCCCACUUUGAAAAUCCCUGGGAAGUCCUUGGAGUCAGAUGAGCAGGCCUCCGCCACUCUGCCAAAAAGUCUGUUCACACAAAUGGGCACUCAACAUCAAUGAAGUAACAGCAAAGUCACAUAAUAAAAGCAUGGAAUUAAGACAAGCUGAAGAUUCGGAUGCAAUAAAACAACCACCCAUUAU